rnacentral:rRNA from 1 species
UACGGAGGGUGCAAACGUUGCUCGGAAUCAUUGGGCGUAAAGCGCACGUAGGCGGCCUAUCAAGUCGGGUGUGAAGGCCCUGGGCUCAACCCAGGAAGUGCACUCGAAACUGAAGGGCUUGAAUAUGGAAGAGGGUCGCGGAAUUCCCGGUGUAGAGGUGAAAUUCGUAGAUAUCGGGAGGAACACCAGUGGCGAAGGCGGCGACCUGGGCCAAUAUUGACGCUGAGGUGCGAAAGCGUGGGGAGCAAACAGG